rnacentral:lncRNA from 1 species
GCCCUCUCUAAGGAAUGUGAGACACCCUAAUUAAUUUACACAGGUGUCUUCAAGCUAAUUUUGCCAAAAGCUCACAGUCUCUCAGUUGCAAUCUCUACUGUGCUUGCAGUUCAGCACAGACGUACCUGCCAUCACCUGGGUCCUGUUCAAGCUGCAUCUCUCUGGUCUCUGUGGGGGCUAGCCACGCGGGAUGCAAGCCUCCCCCACCUCAAGCACUACUGAAGGCCAGGAAGAAUCCUGCAGAACAGCCCAAAUGGUGUACAACAGGUCUCUUCCAACAUCUAACAUAAAUACAGAUCUCGUUUCUGAGGAACACCUAGUGCUGGUUAAAUUUAUUCUAUGUUUGAGAAUCCAGCCCAUUGCUUGUGACAUGAUAGAGAACUGGAAGAACACCCUCCAUCCGCAAACAUAUGUGAUUAAAGCAAACAGGAAGAAAGAAUAAAGUGUUUACCCCCGAGCCCUAGAUUUGAAAAGAAUGGUUUCUGGCAGGAGUCCACAAGAAGCAGAAACUGACUGAAAGAUAAAAGCCAGCACUAUUGGCAUCCGUACCAGGUACAGAAGAGGUGGAUCAGAGGCAACCAAACAGGAACAGAGACCUCCAUUUAUCUCUUGCAAUGAAACAGAAUAUAAAUGAAACUUGGCAUCAGUGUGAAAGGAUGGUUUGAUGUUAAACUGCACCAAGUCCCAAGGAAAAAAAAAUAAUUAAAAUAAAGUAAAAUAAAAUAAAAUAAAAUAAAAUAAA